AUUGAACGCUGGCGGCAGGCUUAACACAUGCAAGUCGAGCGGGGACUUCGGUCCUAGCGGCGAUCGGGUGAGGAAUGCUUGGAAUCUGCCCAGUAGCGGGGGAUAACGUUUCGAAAGGAACGCUAAUACCGCAUACGCCCUACGGGGGAAAGGGGGGGAUCUUCGGACCUCUCACUAUUGGAUGAGCCCAAGUCGGAUUAGCUAGUUGGUGGGGUAAAGGCCUACCAAGGCGACGAUCCGUAGCUGGUCUGAGAGGAUGAUCAGCCACACUGGAACUGAGACACGGUCCAGACUCCUACGGGAGGCAGCAGUGGGGAAUAUUGGACAAUGGGCGAAAGCCUGAUCCAGCCAUGCCGCGUGUGUGAAGAAGGCCUUCGGGUUGUAAAGCACUUUAAGCGAGGAGGAAUGGCUCUUGGUUAAUAACCUUGAGCAGUGACGUUACUCGCAGAGUAAGCACCGGCUAACUCUGUGCCAGCCGCCGCAGUAAUAC
rnacentral:rRNA from 1 species